UCUUCUUCCUCCAGUAGCCCUAUGCGCCGUGAGCUCUCUCCUCCCGAGCCUCCAUAGGUGCCAUGGCCGGACUUUGCCACGAGCGGGCGUUGGUCCGGUGUCACCUUAGCCGCGAGGACGACUCGAUCUCCUACCUUGACAUACUCCGAUGAAGCCGACGCCUGCGACUCCUCUUGCACCGCAAGCUGGUAGAUCCGGCCGAGCGAUGGAACCGGUUCCAUGGCGAGGAUUUGGCUGCGAAAAGCUUUUCUUCGGCUUCCUCCAAUUCGUUCCAUAGCGCGGAAAGCCGAUUGAAAAUUGUUGAAAUUGAGGAAUUGCCUUGCCCGAGCUCCGAUAGGGCUUCGGUUAUUGAGAAAAUCUUAGCCCUAUCGAGCUUCCCGUACAUUUCCCGGAUGUUUUCCCAAAAUUUUUUAGCGUCUUCGGUCGGAGGAAGUCCGACAGCAACUUCGGGGGUGAGGCAUUUGCCAAUCCAUGUUCGGACGAGCUGAUUGCACUUCCUCCAAGGACGUGCAAGCCGCUCAUCGACCGGAAUAGGGAUAGAACCAUCAAGAAACCCUUCUUUGUCCUUCGUCGUGAGUGCUCGCCGGAGCUCUCGACACCAGACGGAGUAGUUUUCUGGCCCUAAGAGUUGUGUAGAGAUUAGGCGAAGCUCGGGUCCGUCGGCGGCGAUCGUGUAUAGGGGAUCCCCGGGCUCCGGUCGACCGCCGGAGGUUCCCGCAAAGGAAAAAAAACCGAGUCCGAAACCGAGUAUGCCCAACCAGGU